rnacentral:antisense_RNA from 1 species
CUUGAUCGACCCCAGCCACAGCGGUGACCCGUCCUCCGGGCGCGAUUGCCCGUAGGUGGCCAACAACGCUUGAGCCUC